CAGGUGGUCAGGUAGAGAAUACCAAGGCGCUUGAGAGAACUCGGGUGAAGGAACUAGGCAAAAUGGUGCCGUAACUUCGGGAGAAGGCACGCUGAUAUGUAGGUGAAGCCCCUGCGGGUGGAGCUGAAAUCAGUCGAAGAUACCAGCUGGCUGCAACUGUUUAUUAAAAACACAGCACUGUGCAAACACGAAAGUGGACGUAUACGGUGUGACGCCUGCCCGGUGCCGGAAGGUUAAUUGAUGGGGUUAGCGGCAACGCGAAGCUCUUGAUCGAAGCCCCGGUAAACGGCGGCCGUAACUAUAACGGUCCUAAGGUAGCGAAAUUCCUUGUCGGGUAAGUUCCGACCUGCACGAAUGGCGUAAUGAUGGCCAGGCUGUCUCCACCCGAGACUCAGUGAAAUUGAACUCGCUGUGAAGAUGCAGUGUACCCGCGGCAAGACGGAAAGACCCCGUGAACCUUUACUAUAGCUUGACACUGAACACUGGUCCUUGAUGUGUAGGAUAGGUGGGAGGCUUUGAAGCGUGGACGCCAGUCUGCGUGGAGCCAACCUUGAAAUACCACCCUUUAAUGGCUGGUGUUCUAACGUAGACCCGUAAUCCGGGUUGCGGACAGUGUCUGGUGGGUAGUUUGACUGGGGCGGUCUCCUCCCAAAGAGUAACGGAGGAGCACGAAGGUUAGCUAAUCCUGGUCGGACAUCAGGAGGUUAGUGCAAUGGCAUAAGCUAGCUUGACUGCGAGAGUGACGGCUCGAGCAGGUGCGAAAGCAGGUCAUAGUGAUCCGGUGGUUCUGAAUGGAAGGGCCAUCGCUCAACGGAUAAAAGGUACUCCGGGGAUAACAGGCUGAUACCGCCCAAGAGUUCAUAUCGACGGCGGUGUUUGGCACCUCGAUGUCGGCUCAUCACAUCCUGGGGCUGAAGUAGGUCCCAAGGGUAUGGCUGUUCGCCAUUUAAAGUGGUACGCGAGCUGGGUUUAGAACGUCGUGAGACAGUUCGGUCCCUAUCUGCCGUGGGCGCUGGAGAAUUGAGGGGGGCUGCUCCUAGUACGAGAGGACCGGAGUGGACGCAUCACUGGUGUUCGGGUUGUCAUGCCAAUGGCACUGCCCGGUAGCUAAAUGCGGAAAAGAUAAGUGCUGAAAGCAUCUAAGCACGAAACUUGC
rnacentral:rRNA from 1 species